UACCAACCUUUUUUAUUUAUAUUUUUCUAAUAAAAAAUUAAAUAAUAUAUUUCUUUUAAAAUCUUGCUAAGAAUAGGAUCCUAGCACAGGCACAACACAACACUUUCUUGUCUUAAUAAUCUAAUCUGAACUCAGCCCUUUUCCUCACAUUAUUGUUAUGUUAUCAUAGAUAGAUUUUUUUUUUUUUUUCAUUUUCUUCAACCUUCAAAAACACAAGCGUAGAUUUUUUUCUUCUCUUUUUCUUCAACCUUCGAAAACACUAGCACUUCAAAUUACUAGGAAAAAAUACACGAGGAAAACGGAGAAUCACAAGCUUACUAUUCUACAUAUACCCCUCACCUAAAGCGGCUUUCAUUUUAGAAUCUGGUCUUGUUCCUACCCUCCCCUUUGAGGGUUCUCUUUCUUACCAAAAGAAAAAUACCUUCGAUUUUUCUUUUCGGUGAAGAAAAGUAUUCACUUUCUUUUGUUUUUUGUUUCCUGGGGUUUUUUAAUUCAUACCCAUUUCAGCAAUUCCAAAGAUUUGCAAUAAAGUUGUGCUUAUGUUAUUUAGAUCUUGGGGAAUUAAAACCCAGGCGCUGGAUUUUGUGAUGCUUUUUAUGUUAAUGGCUGUGGAGAACUUGUUACUCUUUUGAUACGUGAAGAUGGAUUACAAGUUGCAAGUCAGAGUCCAAUCCCACCUUGAACAGAUGGGAUCACUAGAUGAUAGGUCAAUGGGUGAUCUCGAUGAUGAGUGCCUCUAUUCCGCUGAAAUGGAUGCUCAAAAGACACAGUCAACUGAUUCGAAUGAACAAGUAUCGCUUUCUAGUAGUUUGCCUGUUGCUGGUAAUAAAAUGAUAAGGAACGGUGUCUAUAAGAGCAUAAAGACUGUAGUUUUCUCAAAUAAACUCAACUUGCUAAUGCCGUUUGGGCCUCUAGCAAUCCUGGUUCAUAAGAUGACUGCGCAUAACGGGUGGGUCUUCUUUCUAAGUUUACUGGGUAUAACACCUUUGGCAGAGCGUUUGGGUUAUGCUACUGAGCAGUUGGCUUUUUACACUGGACCUACAGUUGGUGGUCUUCUAAAUGCUACAUUUGGGAAUGCAACCGAACUGAUUAUUUCGAUUUAUGCACUGAAAAGUGGAAUGAUACGUGUUGUUCAGUUGUCAUUGUUGGGCUCAAUUUUGUCAAACAUGCUGCUUGUUCUUGGAUGUGCAUUCUUUUGCGGUGGGCUUGUAUAUCCUGGAAAGGAACAGGCUUUUAGUAAGGCCACAGCUGUUGUUAACUCAGGACUGCUGCUAAUGGCAGUCAUGGGCCUCCUGUUCCCAGCAGUCCUCUACUACACACACACUGAACGGCAUGCUGGGAAGUCAGAGUUGGCUCUUUCAAGAUUUAGCAGUUGUAUUAUGCUUCUAGCCUAUGCAGCCUAUCUUGUUUUCCAGUUAAAAAGUCAAAAAGAUCUCUAUGUCCCUAUUGGCGAGGAAGGAAGUCAGAAUGAGCAGAACGCAAAUGAUGAUGAUGAUGAAGCACCAGAGAUCUCCAAAUGGGAAUCAAUCAUUUGGCUUGCAAUCAUGACUGCUUGGAUCUCUAUCCUAUCAGACUACUUGGUGGAUGCCAUGCAGGGUGCAUCUGAGGCAUGGGGUGUGCCAAUUUCAUUUAUUAGUGUUAUCUUGCUUCCUAUUAUUGGCAAUGCUGCAGAGCAUGCAAGUGCUAUUAUGUUUGCCAUGAAAAACAAGCUUGACAUAUCCUUGGGAGUGGCAAUAGGGUCAUCAACUCAGAUUUCUAUGUUUGGGAUUCCUUUUUGUGUUGUUAUUGGGUGGAUGAUGGGGCAGGAAAUGGACUUAAACUUCCAGCUGUUUGAGACGGCAACUCUGUUCAUAACUGUUAUAGUUGUAGCCUUUUUUUCUGCAGGAGGGAACGUCUAACUACUUCAAAGGACUAAUGCUUAUUCUUUGCUAUCUGAUAGUAGCUGCAAGUUUCUUUGUACAUGAAGAUACUUCUUCAAGUGGUGAAAGCAAGCAACCGAAGACGUGAUCAAUGAAGCAGUUGAAUUAAGGGGCGGAAUUUUGAACCUGGAUAGAGAAAAGGCCUUGGAUCCAAAGAACUUUGUCCCACAAGCUGGUGUAAAUAUUUUGUUUCCAGAUAUUCCAUUUUUCCAGCUGCUUAUGCUUGUUCGGUUAAUAUUAUUGAACGAGGGUCUUGUUCCUUAUGUUGUUCUACCUUUCGAUGUGGGAAGAUGGCGAAUUAGAGAGAGACUGUGUAUACAGUAGGGAAGAAAAGGAUUCUUUAAAUUUUGAUCGUGUUACGGAACACUAAUUCUUGUGAACAUCAAGGGACUGCAUGCAAUGAAAUCG